rnacentral:rRNA from 1 species
GAUGAACGCUGGCGGCGUGCCUAAUACAUGCAAGUCGAGCGAACAGAUAAGGAGCUUGCUCCUUUGACGUUAGCGGCGGACGGGUGAGUAACACGUGGGUAACCUACCUAUAAGACUGGAAUAACUCCGGGAAACCGGGGCUAAUGCCGGAUAACAUUUAGAACCGCAUGGUUCUAAAGUGAAAGCUGGUUUUACUAUCACUUAUAGAUGGACCCGCGCCGUAUUAGCUAGUUGGUAAGGUAACGGCUUACCAAGGCAACGAUACGUAGCCGACCUGAGAGGGUGAUCGGCCACACUGGAACUGAGACACGGUCCAGACUCCUACGGGAGGCAGCAGUAGGGAAUCUUCCGCAAUGGGCGAAAGCCUGACGGAGCAACGCCGCGUGAGUGAUGAAGGUCUUCGGAUCGUAAAGCUCUGUUAUUAGGGAAGAACAAAUGUGUAAGUAACUGUGCACGUCUUGACGGUACCUAAUCAGAAAGCCACGGCUAACUACGUG